rnacentral:misc_RNA from 1 species
UCUUUAAUUUCUGUGGUCCUUGUAUGCGGUUUCUUUGUCAAAUGUCUAAGUGCAAUUUCUUGAUAUUUUCUUUUAGUUCAGUUUUGAAUGUCAAAAGGCAGUGUCAGGUAGCCCAUUGUAUAGUAUUUUUGACAAGAAUAGGAGUGACAAGAGGGCUGUCCUGCUGUGGAAUAUGGAGAAGAGGCCAAAAAUGAUGUGCAGUGACAUACAAGAAUCUUUGAGCUGAUAGAUACACCGACUGUUUGCCACCAAAUAUGGUUCGUCAGGCCUGUGCAAGCAACUGCAUGUCUAUCUUUAGAGGCCUAAAGUUUAUGUUUUUGUUAGCUUAAAGAUAACUUGCUUGCAUG